GCGUGCCUAACACAUGCAAGUCGAGCGAUGAAACCCUUCGGGGUGGAUUAGCGGCGGACGGGUGAGUAACACGUGGGUAACCUGCCUCAAAGAGGGGGAUAGCCUCCCGAAAGGGAGAUUAAUACCGCAUAACUUUAGUUUUCGCAUGGAGAACUAAUUAAAGGAGUAAUCCGCUUUGAGAUGGACCCGCGGCGCAUUAGCUAGUUGGUGAGGUAAAGGCUCACCAAGGCGACGAUGCGUAGCCGACCUGAGAGGGUGAUCGGCCACAUUGGAACUGAGAACACGGUCCAGACUCCUACGGGAGGCAGCAGUGGGGAAUAUUGCACAAUGGGCGAAAGCCUGAUGCAGCAACGCCGCGUGAGUGAUGAAGGCCUUCGGGUUGUAAAGCUCUGUCUUUUGGGACGAUAAUGACGGUACCAAAGGAGGAAGCCACGGCUAACUACGUGCCAGCAGCCGCGGUAAUACGUAGGUGGCGAGCGUUGUCCGGAUUUACUGGCGUAAAGGAUGCGUAGGCGGAUUUUUAAGUGAGAUGUGAAAUACCCGGGCUUAACUUGGGUGCUGCAUUUCAAACUGGAAGUCUAGAGUGCGGGA
rnacentral:rRNA from 1 species